rnacentral:lncRNA from 1 species
GUCCGUCGGCUCCUCCAAUCGCCGUACUACUGCCAGAGACUGUCAGUCCUGACAACGGCAUGCGGCACUGUCGCCUAGGGGCAUUAUCUCAUCUAAGGCAUGGUCAACCCUAGCGAUUUGACAGCCCCACGGCGAUUUGACACCCUCACGACGGCUCUGACAGUCCUCAGUGAGUUGACAAUACUUCAAUUAUCCGCGCCAU